ACGGCCCAAUCCCUUCGAUUCCCUUUCGACCCACAUGUUCCCACGCGGUUCAGAAUCAUCGAGGCCCCCCUCGAGGAUUUGGCUGCUCUCGACUCGAGACGCCGCCGCCGACGCUGCGCCGCCUCCUCCCCAAGACGCCGCGCUGCCUCCUCCCCAAGUCGCCGCGCCACCCGACGCCUCGACGCCGGUGAUCUCCUCCGGCAUACUGGACUUCUCACCGGUGGGUUAUUACGAGUAUUUGCUGCUUUCCAGGCUGGAGUUAGAUGCUUUCCGAGGGCACCAUGGCCGUCACACCUCCGCCUAAUUCGGCUGUCCCUGUGUCUUCUUUGGUGGAUGAGAUUGAUGGCGCUCUGUAGUUAGCUGUUUGUGCUCUGUCCUCUUGUAACUUGUGUGGGAUCACACUGAUUCAUGAUCUGGAGAAAUAACAACAGCGCUUAUUUCAGUUCUUGCCAUGAUCAAGUUUGUGCUACUUUGUUUUGGUUGGAUCUGUUGUGCAAGCUUGUGUUUCUCUGUAAAUCACUGCAUAUGACGGCUAUAAACUUGCUGAGAUGUUUCUGACAAGUACCAUGUUUAAGUUAA